UUUAAUCUUUAUCAGAACCUGGAAGCCUGGUAUUUAUUUUGCAGGUCAGUUGCUCAUCCAUUUUCCUCGAGGCCUCUGGCAGGAGGCUGGAGAGCCCCGCGCCCCCGGGGGGUGCUGCCAUCAACAUUAGUCCUGGUGACAGCAGGACAAAUCAAAGCGCUGCAGGCUACCAGGGAGAAGAUAAAUCUGGCAAAAGGCUAAUGAGUAAACUGUGGCUGUGGCAAGAGAGGGCCUUCAAGAGUUUCCAGGCCUCCUUGCUGUGGGCAGUGGGUCAUCUUCCCGGGACUGGAGUGAGGGGCAUCUGGUUGGCAAGGGUUGGGUUCCUCCAGACUGAGGCGGCCGGGCUCCAGAGUUUUUAACCCUGUGGGCAGUGGCGAAGGGCAGUGAGAAAGGAGAGUUGAACUCCUCAAAGCAUGUGGCAUCUCCCGUGAGAAAAGAGCCCAGGAGUAUCCUACUUACAGCAUGAAGGAUUGGGGUUAGGCACACGAAGGGAUUGUUGGAGAGUAAGCCUUGAGCAGAUACCUACGGAAAGUGGUGAGAUACCUUUCCUUUGUAGGUCCAGGAGCACAUUCCCGUCGGAAGGACAAUGGGCAUCUGUUUUGUCUCCAAACACAUACCGAACGCGUCCUUUAUUCGGGGUCCCUACGGGGUCUCAGAACAGAAAGAUGGUAUCUGCUGGAAAGGAACUUAGAGGGGGAGACUCGAGAACCAGGAUGGCAAGUGGGGGUCUGUGUUCUAGUCAAUUCUAUCGGGUUGGAAGUAGUUGCUUGGAGGCUUGUGCUAAGAAAAAUUGGAAAGCCUCAUCUAGGUUCAGGAAGAGAACGUAGAAGACAAACAUCAUUUAGCGAUGCCUGCCCUGGGUGAUGGUAUCUGCUGGCCAACCCUGCCAAGGGAAUGGAGCAUAGUGGGCUCAGUGAAGAUGUUUCUUUCCAGCAUCUCAUGUGCCCAGUCCUGUGCUAGGAGCUUGGGAGGGGGAGAUGAGUCUUGAAGCAGACUCCGGUCUAGUGGGAGAAAUACAGGACACAGUGAUGAAAAACACUGUUAUCCGCACCUGUCUGAAAUCCUCGAAGGUGGGGGUGCCGGAGGAGCUCACGGAAAGGAGAGGAAGGCGGACCGCAGUUCUCAGGCGCACUUCCCGGAGUGGUGAGAAGAGGGACCCAGCUAGGUCUACCUGGAACAUCAGUAUUCCACCAUCAAAAGCUGUUCUUGAUGAGCAGCACCCCUCUCCUCACGGUCCUCCACCUCUACCCCACCCCAGUCCCCAACCGUUCCCAAGUCAGGAAAAUCAGUCAAAACAUUUAUCAAGAAUCGGUAUGAACCAGCCAAGCGCUGUGAAGAGCUAAUCUGUGCAGAGCUAAUAAGAAUGAACAAAGUCACCACAGACUUCGCCAUGGGCAUCGCUGAUAAGGAUUUGUCAGAAGAAUUGCAGGUAAGAUCUGAACAGCCCCGGGAAGUGGAAUGCAAAUGCCUGGCUUCCCAUACUCUCUCCCCGUGCCCCCUUGGAGCAGACUGGAGCCUUGAGAACAGAGGCAGAAACUCACCCAGGAGCGGGCCAGGCAGGCAGGCCCGGGUGGGACAUGGAAAUGUGGAAGGAGAUCAGCAGAGCCAGCCUGAGCAUGCACCAGGAUGGGGAGCAGGGGC
ensembl:lncRNA